CCCGGAAGCCGCGGACUCGGGCUAUGCCUCCGUGGACCCUUCCUGGCCACUUUCUCCUGACCCGUGUCCGCCAGGCUGCCGGACCGCGCCCCUCCCCGGGACGUCACGGGAUCUCUGUAAACGCAUUGUUGACUUAGAAAAGAAGUGGAGGGAAUAAAAACUUUAUCAUGGAAUCUGCACCCACCCAUGUGAUCUGCCUGCUAGGCACUUUCCACGGUGUCAUCCACGUCUCUGAGGAAGCAUCAUGAUAGAAAUAGUUAAGUGAAGAAAUGUUUCUUUUCUAAGCGCUUUCACAAGUCAACCGAGAAGACACAGUGCCCAUCUACCAGAAACUUUUGCUGAAAGUUAUGAAGCUGUGUGAAUGGACAGAAAAAUAUAAUGAAUUUCAGAUUUGA